UUAAGUUCAGCGGGUCUUCCUACCUGAUCCGAGGUCAACCUUGGGUAAAUAAGGCUUUUAACGGCCGGAACCCGCAGCACUCCCAGAGCGAGAUGUAUUACUACGCUCGGUAUGACAGCGAGUCCGCCACUGCUUUUAGGGGGCUGCAGCAGCUGCAGGCCCCCAACACAAGCCUGAGGCUUGAUGGUUGAAAUGACGCU
rnacentral:misc_RNA from 1 species